AUUGAACGCUGGCGGCAGGCCUAACACAUGCAAGUCGAGUGUGCGGCGGACGGGUGAGUAAUGUCUGGGAAACUGUCUGAUGGAGGGGGUUAACUACUGGAAACGGUAGCUAAUACCGCAUACCAUCAGAUGUGCCCAGGUGGGAUUAGCUAGUAGGUGGGGUAACGGCUCACCUAGGCGACGAUCCCUAGCUGGUCUGCGAGGAUGACCAGCCACACUGGAACUGAGACACGGUCCAGACUCCUACGGGAGGCAGCAGUGGGGAAUAUUGCACAAUGGGCGCAAGCCUGAUGCAGCCAUGCCGAGUGUGUGAAGAAGGCCUUCGGGUUGUAAAGCACUUUCAGCGGAGAGGCGUUACCCGAAGAAAAAGCACCGGCUAACUCCGUGCCAGCAGCCGCGGUAAUUC
rnacentral:rRNA from 1 species